rnacentral:rRNA from 2 species
UACGUAGGUGGCGAGCGUUGUCCGGAAUUACUGGGUGUAAAGGGCGUGUAGGCGGGAAGGUAAGUCAGAUGUGAAAUACCGGGGCUCAACUCCGGGGCUGCAUUUGAAACUAUCUUUCUUGAGUGCAGGAGAGGAAAGUGGAAUUCCUAGUGUAGCGGUGAAAUGCGUAGAUAUUAGGAGGAACACCAGUGGCGAAGGCGACUUUCUGGACUGUAACUGACGCUGAGGCGCGAAAGCGUGGGGAGCGAACAGG